rnacentral:rRNA from 1 species
UACGAAGGGGGCUAGCGUUGCUCGGAAUUACUGGGCGUAAAGGGCGCGUAGGCGGCACUGUUAGUCAGGCGUGAAAUUCCUGGGCUCAACCUGGGGACUGCGCUUGAUACGGCAGAGCUAGAGGAUGGAAGAGGCUCGCGGAAUUCCCAGUGUAGAGGUGAAAUUCGUAGAUAUUGGGAAGAACACCGGUGGCGAAGGCGGCGAGCUGGUCCAUUACUGACGCUGAGGCGCGACAGCGUGGGGAGCGAACAGG